rnacentral:pre_miRNA from 1 species
AUAAUACUCCCUCCGUUCGGAAUUACUUGUCAUCAAAAUGGAUGUGUCUAGAACUAAAAUACAUCUAGAUACAUCCAUUUCAAUGACAAGUAUUUUCGGACAGAGGGAGUAGUAG